rnacentral:rRNA from 1 species
AUUGAACGCUGGCGGCAGGCUUAACACAUGCAAGUCGAGCGAGCGGCGGACGGGUGAGUAAUGUCCGGGAAACUGCCUGAUGGAGGGGGAUAACUACCGGAAACGGUAGCUAAUACCGCAUACCAUCAGAUGUGCUCAGAUGGGAGUAGCUAGUAGGUGGGGUAAUGGCUCACCUAGGCGACGAUCCCUAGCUGGUCUGAGUGGUUGACCAGCCACACUGGAACUGAGACACGGGCCAGACUCCUACGGGAGGCAGCUGGGGGGAAUAUUUCACAAUGGGCGCAGGCCUGAUGCAGCCAUGCCGCGUGAGUGAAGAAGGCCUUCAGGUUGUAAAGCACUUUCAGCGAGGAGGCGGUACUCGCAGAAGAAGCACCGGCUAGCUCCGUGCGAGCAGCCGCGGUAAUAC